UAGAUUGGCCAAAAAGUUUGUUUGGGUUUUUUCUGGAACAUAUUACAGAAAAUCUCAAAUUAACUUUUUGGCCAGCCCUGU
rnacentral:miRNA from 1 species